UUAGGUGGGUGUCCUAUAGUAGAAUUUGAAUUUUGGCGGGUAAGGCUGGCUGUUUCAACCUCCAUUCCUCCACCUCUUUCUUGUCCGCCACCUUCCCAGCAGUUCCCUGGACUCCACUAAUGUCGAGAUUCGGCCAGGCGUUGACUUGUCCACGAGCCACAUUAUCUUCAUCCUUAACGUAAUCUUGGAUCCCUCUGCUGUCAGCCUCUCCACAUAACGCCCAGGCGGAGGAGAACCAUGAACCACAGAGAGCAGCCGUGUGGCGCGUGGAGUCUCUGCCAGUACGCCAUCUGCAGGGACCCGCCGCCCCUCAACCCGUCAUCACCUCCUGCAUGAUUCAAGAGGCACAAAUCAGGGCCAGGAACCACCACCACCACCACCACCACCACCGAGGUAUCAAAGCGUGGGUCGCGGCGCCUGUCGUCCCCUCUUCGCCUUAUCACCCCACGCGCCGCACCAACUGUCGAGGUGUUCCUUCCGCACCUCGGGGACGCGCUCCAGGCACCAUGGCGCACCUGUCCCUUUCCUUACGCCUCACAUUUCCAGGAAACCGUAAUAUUAUAGAGCUCGCCAUUCCUCCUGCCCAUCCUGCGGCGCCCUUUGUGUCACUCCACCACCGUAUGUCCGCUGUGUUGAGCUAUUAUCUGUGUCACUUUU